AUGAUUUUCCUGAUACUGAUGGCAUUUUUUGUUACAAUAUAAUCAUAGACAGUUACAUAUACCAAGACAGCUGGUUCCUGCUAACAGAGUCAGUAUAGUUGUCAGAUCUUCUGUGCAAUGGCUCCAUACAUA